UAUAUAUUAACUCUUUCAAUUUACAAGAAUUUUCUUGACCACUCAAUAUAGCAGCAUACAUUUUUUAUACUUUAACUGUGAUUAAGCAGAGAAGCCUGAAGUACUUUUCUAUAAUUAACUGCUCAACUGUGUUAGAGAAUGAAAACAGCUUUCAGAAGUAGAUCUGACAUUCACCAACAGCCGGGAGAGGACAGAGCUGAUGUCUUUUCUACCUAUGAACGAACAGUUUUGUCCUUCAGAGCUGGUGACCUUGGUUUCUUUCUGAAAGAUACCUGAACUCUAGCCAAUGCUGCUUUAGGAUUUGAUGGACCACCUGACCCAUCUCAAAGGAGAAAGAAGAAUAAAGUUUUUCAAAGGUCACAUCUCAGCCAUUUACAAUUUUUUGUUACGUUUCUGUCAUGGCUGAAGAUUGUAUUCAGACAAUUGCAACAAAAACAGCCAAAGUCAAAAUGAACCAACGAACACAACAGAAAUGGAGAAAGAAGGGGAAAAAAAAAAAGAGCUUCUGUCUAGGGUUCAAAUGCUUCCACUCACCCAAAGGGACAAGCUGGAGGGCAUGGAGACCUGAGUACCAGGAGGAGGGGCAGUAAUGCUUUGAGAUGAACAGUGACCUUGGUUGAGGGACACAGCGGCCCGAGGUGCCCCCGGUGUGAGAAUGCAGGUUUGGGGGGCACGAUACAACCUGAGAUCUCGCUCUCCUUUUCCUUCUGCUCUCCUGGUAGUGAUCCCCUUUGGCUGGACCCCACUAGACAUCAUCAGAUGAUGAAUUUCACACAGGCUGGCCUCCCAGUUAGAGAUCAAGGCCCAGAAGGUAGAACACGGACUUUGGAGAGAGACAGAAGAUACCUCAUACGGCAAGGCUACAUGAAGCUCUUACCGUAGACACAGCUCAGAGGUGUGAAAGAACGCAGGCCUCGUAAAACG
rnacentral:lncRNA from 1 species